rnacentral:rRNA from 1 species
GUUCUUUAAUUGGGAACUAGUAUGAAUGGAUAGAUGAGGCAUUAACUUUAUUACUUUAUUAUAAAAAAUUUUAAUUUUUAGUUAAAAUGCUAAAAUAAUUUUAUUAGACGAUAAGACCCUAUAGAACUUUACAUAAAUUAUUUUGUAUUUUAUUUUUGUAAAUUGUAACUUAUUAGUUUAUGUUUUGUUGGGGUGACAAUUAUAUUUAUAUAACUAUAAUUAUUUUAUUCAAUGAUUUUUGUUUAUUGAUCCUUUUUAGAUUAAAAGACUAAGUUACCUUAGGGAUAACAGCGUAAUUCUGUUGGAGAGUUCUUAUUAAUAGCAGAGUUUGCGACCUCGAUGUUGGAUUAAA